rnacentral:misc_RNA from 1 species
GAUGAAGAACGUAGCGAAAUGCGAUAAGUAAUGUGAAUUGCAGAAUUCAGUGAAUCAUCGAAUCUUUGACCGCACAUUGCGCCCCUUGGUAUUCCGGGGGGCAUGCCUGUUCGAGCGUCAUUAUCACCCCUCAAGCUCAGCUUGGUGUUGGGGCCUGCCGUCAAGGCAGCCCUUAAAAUCAGUGGCGGCGCCAUCUGGCUCUAAGCGUAGUAAUACUUCUCGCUACAGGGUCCCGGUGUGUCUUGCCAGAACCCCUCAUUUUUUAUGAUUGACCUCGGAUCAGGUAGGGAUACCCGCUGAACUUAAGCAUAUCAAUAAGCGGAGGA